rnacentral:ncRNA from 1 species
UUAAAGUAUGGAAGCGAUGAUAUUGAAUCUAUAAUUGGGCACUUGGAUUCAAUUGAGUUAGUAGUGCAACCGGCCGUCCUAAUU